AGUGAACGCUGGCGGUAGGCCUAACACAUGCAAGUCGAACGGCGGCACAGUAAGAGCUUGCUCUUACGGGUGGCGAGUGGCGGACGGGUGAGGAAUACAUCGGAAUCUACUUUUUCGUGGGGGAUAACGUAGGGAAACUUACGCUAAUACCGCAUACGACCUACGGGUGAAAGCAGGGGAUCUUCGGACCUUGCGCGAUUGAAUGAGCCGAUGUCGGAUUAGCUAGUUGGCGGGGUAAAGGCCCACCAAGGCGACGAUCCGUAGCUGGUCUGAGAGGAUGAUCAGCCACACUGGAACUGAGACACGGUCCAGACUCCUACGGGAGGCAGCAGUGGGGAAUAUUGGACAAUGGGCGCAAGCCUGAUCCAGCCAUACCGCGUGAGUGAAGAAGGCCUUCGGGUUGUAAAACCCUUUUGUUGGGAAAGAAAAGCAGCAGGUUAAUACCCCGCUGUUCUGACGGUACCCAAAGAAUAAGCACCGGCUAACUUCGUG
rnacentral:rRNA from 1 species